GCCUCUCUAGGCUCAGCUUCCAUCACCGCGUGGCGGAGCCCGUGUCCGGGCCAGUGCUGACUUUGAGACUUUUCUGAUGGUGACUCAUGAUAUGCAUGGAAGCAUAAGAAAUGCUCACACGAAACAUUCAGAAAACUAAACUUACCCUUACGGUAUAUGAUGCUGUGAUGGUUAACACUGAGUGUCAACUUGAUUGGAUUGAAGGAUGUGAAGUAUUUUUCCUGGGUGCGUCUGUGAGGGUGUUGCCAAAGGAGAUUAACAUUUGAGUCAGUGGACUGGGGCAGGCAGACCCACCCUCAAUGUGGGUGGGCACCGUCUAAUCAGCAGCCAACAUGGCUAGAAUAAAACAGGCAGAAGAACAUGGAAGGACUUGACUUGCUGAGUCUUCUGGCCUUCAUCUUUCUUCCAUGCUGGAUGCUUCCUGCCCUCGAACAUGAGACUCCAAGUUCUUCAGCUUUUGGACACUUGGACUUACACCAGUAGUUUGCCAGGGGCUUUUGGGCCUUUGGACACAGCCUGAAGUCUGCAAUGUCGGCUUCCCUACUUUUGAGGUUUCGGGACUCGGACUGAUCCACCACUGGCUUCCUUGCUCCUCAACUUGCAGACGACCUAUUGUGGGACUUUACCUUGUGAUCCUUAUUUCUGCCUGUCACUUAUUAUCUGGUUGAGCUGGUGGCGGGAGUCCCGGCCCAUGUGUGUUACCAGAGGGAUGGUCUAGAGAAUGAAUCCAUCUGUCAGAGGCAUCCAAGAAGAAAGGCCUGGGCCAGGAUCACAUGGAAGACCCUGAAGACAGGAUCGGGUCUUGCCUGCCUGGAUUGAACAGAGACGCAGUGACCAGUCCCAUCUGCUCCCACCCUGCUGCCCUCUGAAUCGAGAGUUUGAGGCCAUGACCAGGGUAACGUUCAGCUGGUAGAGACAACACAACCCUGCUGGCUGUUUAAGCCAUGCUGGAGUGGUGCUCACAGGGUAACAAUUUUCAAGUGCUACGGAUGCAAUAGCUCAGCGACUGGCAGCGCAGCACGUACCUGCUGUCGUGGGAGGUGAGAGCCACCAGUGCCCGACAGCGGCUGCAAGGCAGUGGUGGCGCUCUGCAGCCAGCCGGCCCACCCCUCCAACAUCUGCAAGGGGGUGGGAGGCUGCCUCACCAAGCUACCUGCUACUCAUGGGGGCGAUGGGCAUCAGGGUGGCCUGCCUGGAGCCCCGAGAGCACAUAGAAGCUGCCAGAUGAGGGCAGUGAGGCCGAGGGCCGGCAGUAGGGCUGCAGAUGCCCUGAGCCCUAAGGUCAAGGUGGAUGGAACUGCUGUGUAAGUCUGAUGCCGAGGAGACCAGGUCGUUGGGCUUUCAGUAAGGUUCUCACCUCUGUGACCAAUUACCUUGAGACUGAUGUCCUGCACCAUCCUGGAGUGUUGGGAUCUGCAGGUCGUGAAAAGGGAAACCAAGCAAUCACUUUGGAAUGACUUCCUGGAACUUCCCUGGCCCCUCCUUCGUGUUCUCUGAUGACAGCCAGGAGCUGACUCAGAAACCUCAUAAGAAGCUGAAGGCAUGACGACUUCCCUGUUAAAAAAAAAAUGUCCCACGUGUGGCCGAGUGCCACACCCAGGCAGCUGCCGAAAAAAAGCACCAGACACCAUGCAGCUGGGCCCCAGGGCCCGGCCCAACCCGGUUGGCCUUCUCCGGCACCUGCAGGGAACUUGUCCUGUCUUGUCUCUGCUCGCCCCCUGCUGGCUGCCUGGAGCCAUUCCGUGCUGGUUUCUUCGCGUCUUCUGUCAGGAGAGAGAUGCUGAUGCUUACUCAGGGAUCCGGCGGGUCAGUAUCCUGUGCCCUCUGCACGAUUCAGGGUGGGGGUGUGCGCGUGUGUGUGUGCAUGUGGACCCACAUUGAUGAGUCUGGCCCAUACACCUCCACCCUUAUUGGACCUCUCCUGGGAGCACCCUGGGAACACACAUCUCAUGCAGAAGUGUGUCUCUUGAGAGCCUAGCUCCUCCUGUCCUCCCCCAGCAUCAGAUGUACACUGUACGAGACGUGAAUUUUGCUUACAGCACAAAUCUGUGCUGGCCUAACAGCUCCCUUCUGGCCUCCCCCUUAGCAUGGAUCAGAAAGAUCCAGAAAGUGCACAGGAAAAUCAUCAACCCAUGAGGUGGGGACAGGGGAAGAGGGCAUGCCGCAUAACACCUACGUGGGUGGAGGGGCUGUGACAGCCACUUGCUUAAGCUGGUGGGACAUGAAAUAACCUCCUAAGCCACAUUUCAGCUGUGACCCUGAGGCCCCGAGGUGGAUUAACAGAGCCCUCAGCACCGAGUCUCCAAGCUGAAGGCAGUGGUCACACUCCCUGCUGCCCUCCAGGUUUGGAGGGAUGGAGAGGAGAGAGGAGGGGAAGAAGCUACCUUCUUCACUAGCCUUGCUGAGAGACAAGUGGGUACGGCCCACAGGCACCUCCACCAGCCUGCCCUCUACAUCCAGAUUCGCAAGGUCAGGGCGGCAGCAGCAGCUGGAAACAUUGGGGAAAGUCGGGGUGUUGUUUCUAUACUUAGGGGAAUCUACUGUCACCCCAGGUGGCACGGGACAUUCACGGGGCUGCUCUAGCCCAGUGCCCCUCUCCUGCAGACAGAGUCGAGACCUGACAACAGGUCAUCAUCAUUAUCAGGAUCAUGAUGACAUUAUCCCAGUGCAUCCUUGAGUGGGAGGGAGGAGAGGAAGAAGAAGGUGGCGGGGGGCAGGGGGUGUCCAUGAAGAGCAAGGUGGGAGAAUAAAGGUCCUCUGUGUUUUAGAAAUGGGAAGUGAGACGGGGCGGACAGCGACCUUCCCAAGCCUGCGCGUGCUUUGGGUAGGAUGCUCCAGCCCCUUCCUGUUCGGCCCCUGGUUGCCGACAGAGGGGCUGGCAGGCGGGACUCCUGCGGCUGGGCUUGGCGCUGCCUUCUGUGCUCACUGUCAGAGCUGAUGACAGCUCUAGGGGCUCCUCCCAGAGUCUCCGUUUCCCCCAUGGCUCUUGCACAUGGCAGAGCAUCCAUAACGGACCUGAGUUUUGUUCCGGAGUCUGAGGGCAGCAAAAUACAGGCCGUUUCCCAGAGAAGAAGGCGGCUUCAGACAGCUC
rnacentral:lncRNA from 1 species